rnacentral:rRNA from 1 species
UACGAAGGGGGCAAGCGUUGUUCGGAAUUACUGGGCGUAAAGGGCGCGUAGGCGGCCGAUCAAGUCAGGCGUGAAAUUCCCGGGCUCAACCUGGGGGCUGCGCUUGAUACUGAUUGGCUUGAAUGCGGGAGAGGAUAGUGGAAUUCCACGUGUAGCAGUGAAAUGCGUAGAGAUGUGGAGGAACACCGAUGGCGAAGGCAGCCCCCUGGGCUAACACUGACGCUCAUGCACGAAAGCGUGGGGAGCAAACAGG